ensembl:snRNA predicted gene, 23345
AUUGCUUUUUGGCCUUUUGGCUAAGAUCAAGUGUAGUAUCUGUUCUUAUCAGUUUAAUGUCUUCUACUUUUCAAUAAUAAGCUGUUUGGACUGGCAUGAUAUUUCAUUGUGAAACCAGUUUGCAUUUCCCUAGUGAUUAGUGAUGUUGAG